CGAAUCCGGCUCUGAGGAUGUCCGCGUAAACAAAGCCGAACCCGCGCAUGCAUCUGCUUUCUCCCCACACUCCCUCCAGAUGCCAGCAGUGAGACGGACACGGACCUCCAAGGGGAGGACAGCCUAUAAGAGAUGUCCACAAAUUUGACUGUAUCUGACUGAACAAACGAUACAGCUGACCCAAGAGAUCUCGCCUGUUCUUAUGGACCAGCUAACAUGAAGACCGAAGGUGAACUGGACACAGCUGUUUCUGUUCCGGAAGCUGGGGACAGCUGGGGAGGCAUGUCAUCGUGGCCACCGGGGAAGGGCCCUUCUCCACCAGCGGUCCUCAUGGGAACCCCAGAACACAGAAAAAUGAUCUGAGUGACAAUUUUCUCAACUCUGCCAAGGAUCGUUUGUAACCAGGACCACUCUGGAUGCAGAGGAGAGAAGCAAAU